rnacentral:rRNA from 1 species
AUUGAACGCUGGCGGCAGGCCUAACACAUGCAAGUCGAGCGAGCGGCGGACGGGUGAGUAAUGUAUGGGGACUGCCCGAUAGAGGGGGAUAACUACUGGAAACGGUAGCUCAUACCGCAUACUAUCGGAUAACCCAUAUGGGGUUAGCUAGUAGGUGAGGUAAGGGCUCACCAAGGCCACGAUGCAUAGCAGGCCUGAGAGGGGGAUCGGCCACACUGGUACUGAGACACGGCCCAGACUCCUACGGAGGCAGCAGUGGGGAAUUUUGGACAAUGGGGGAAACCCUGAUCCAGCCAUGCCGCGUGUAUGAAGAAGGCCCUAGGGUUGUAAAGUACUUUCAGUCGGGAGGCGUUACCGACAGAAGAAGCACCGGCUAACUCCGUGCCAGCAGCCGCGGUAAUAC